UACGGAGGGUGCAAACGUUGCUCGGAAUCAUUGGGCGUAAAGCGCACGUAGGCGGCCUGUUAAGUCGGGUGUGAAAGCCCUGGGCUCAACCCAGGAAGUGCAUUCGAAACUGCAGAGCUGGAGUCCUGGAGAGGAAGGCGGAAUUCCCGGUGUAGCGGUGAAAUGCGCAGAUAUCGGGAAGAACACCCGUGGCGAAGGCGGCUCUCUGGGACGGUACUGACGCUGAGACGCGAAAGCGUGGGGAGCGAACAGG
rnacentral:rRNA from 1 species